CUGGCCGACGUUUCUGUGACGGUAGCGCCAAAGGCCAUAAGCCGGCUGGGCAGGCGCCAGACAUGUAGUAAAGACAGUCCCAGCCCCAAAGCGCUGACCGUGUGGAAAGGUGGGGGGGUCACGGCCCUGUUUUCGGGGGGCCCCAUGAAGAACUGCGGGAAGACCGUUCUCCAAUGGCAAGGGCCCAUCAGGGGAGUGGAGGGUGCCAGGAAGGACUCUGGGGAUGGGGCACACAGAAGGAUCAGCAGGGUAGCCUUAAAACUGGGGUCUCGCAUCUGUGGGAGCCCCGUGGUUCGGCUACGAUUCAGGGACCCAACUUGGAUUUCUUCUCAUCCUUGCAGCAAAACCAGAAGGAAUGAGACAGCCCAGCUUUUCCCAUCUGUUUUCCAGCAGCUUUUAUCUGUGAAUUUCUUAUGAACGUCAUUGUAGUAUCUGUUAUUUAAUAGCUAUAUAGUGUCAUAGGUAUGUGAGGCACUCUAGUGAAAUAAAAAUACUACCCAUACAGUUCUACCACCCUUAGAUUGAAAGCUUUUGGGAUGUCCACACUACAGCGCCACUGUGCCUCUGAAUAGCUGCAGCGUCGAUGCUUCCUGCGUCUACACUGAAAUGUAGCUCCCACUGAUAUAACUCGCCCAGUACCCUGACUUAAUAACUCCACUUCCUUGGGAGGCGUAAUGAUUAAGUCGAUGUAGUUAGGUUGAUACAGCAUCUUUGUAGACACUGUGUUGCUUACAUCAAGUGUUGCUGCCUUUCAGAAACCAUCCCAAAAUGCCCAACACUGGCAGUUAAAUUGGUGCAAGUGCUCUGGGUGAAGACAUGUGCCACUGAUGAGCAUAGUGUGGAUGUAUAAAACGGAUUCAAUUACUGCAGUGGCUCUAUGUUGAUGUAACCUAGGUCAACUUAAUUUUUUAGUGUAGACUUGCUCUGAGAGGCAAUAACUAGAUAGACAGAAUAGGUCCAUCAACCUAGCUGUGUCUACAUGGGAGGUUAGGUUGACCUAACUGUGUUGCUGGGGGCACAAUUUUUCAUAGCCCUGAGUGAUGUAGCUAAGUCAACCUAAGUUAUAGGUGUAGACCAGGCCUUAGCUAGACUUGCAUGGGGUCAGGUGACAACAAACAAGGGAGGGAAUGGAAUAAAAUCCCAAAGAGGAGACAAAGCCCGACAUGAGCAGUGAUUUCUCCAUCAGAGUUUGGAGGAGGGAGGGGAAUAAUUGCAUGUUGUUUUGGGUGGUUCCCUGAGAGUCAGAUGAGGAUUGUAAAUUAGGUGAUUUUGUCAUGCUCCAGCACAGGUCCAGCUGCAGUAACGUUGUGAUCUGCUGUGUGACUACAGGGCCGAUACUCUGGCAGAGCCAAUGCUAGAUCUGGAAGUGGUUCCCGAGCGAUCUCUUGGGAAUGAACAAUGGGAAUUCACCUUGGGAAUGCCAUUGGCUCAAGCAGUAGCAAUUCUUCAGAAACACUGUCGUAUUAUCAAAAACGUCCAGGUUCUGUACAGUGAGCAGUCUCCUCUUAGCCAUGACCUCAUCCUUAACCUGACUCAGGACGGAAUCAAACUGCUGUUUGAUGCUUUCAAUCAGAGACUUAAGGUGAUUGAAGUUUAUGACUUGACUAAAGUGAAGUUAAAAUAUUGUGGUGUCCAUUUUAACUCUCAGGCAAUUGCUCCAACCAUAGAACAGAUUGAUCAAUCGUUUGGAGCAACACAUCCAGGAGUGUACAACUCAGCUGAACAACUCUUUCACCUCAAUUUCAGAGGACUGUCUUUUUCUUUUCAAUUGGACUCAUGGGCUGAAACUCCAAAGUACGAGCCUAACUUUGCUCAUGGCCUAGCUUCUCUGCAAAUUCCCCAUGGUGCAACUGUGAAACGUAUGUACAUCUACAAUGGAAACAGCCUGCAGGAUACGAAGGCUCCCCUCAUGCCCCUCAGCUGUUUCCUUGGUAACGUGUAUGCAGAGAACGUUGAUGUUCUGAGAGAUGGAACUGGACCCUCAGGUUUACGGCUCCGCUUACUCACUGCAGGCUGUGGCCCAGGUGUAUUAGCUGAUGCCAAGAUGCGGGUUUUUGAACGCUGUGUGUACUUUGGUGAUUCAUGCCAAGAUGUUCUGAGCACUUUGGGGUCUCCGCACAAAGUCUUUUACAAGUCAGAAGACAAGAUGAAAAUUCAUUCGCCCUCCCCCCAUAAGCAGGUUCCAUCAAAGUGCAAUGACUACUUUUUUAAUUACUUCACGCUUGGAGUGGAUAUUCUUUUUGAUGCAAAUACUCACAAAGUGAAGAAAUUUGUCCUGCAUACAAAUUAUCCUGGUCAUUACAACUUUAACAUAUACCAUCGUUGUGAAUUCAAGAUUCCACUAGCCGUUAAGCGAGAUAGUGCAGAUUCACAGACUGAAACAUGCACAACGUACAGCAAGUGGGAUAGUAUUCAGGAUCUUCUGGGACAUCCUGUGGAAAAGCCAGUGGUACUUCAUAGGUCGUCAUCUCCAAACAAUACUAACCCAUUUGGAUCAACGUUUUGUUUUGGACUGCAACGAAUGAUCUUUGAGGUGAUGCAGAAUAAUCACAUAGCAUCUGUUACUUUGUAUGGCCCAGCAAGGCCCAGCAGCCAGUUGAGAACGUCGGACCUUCCUCAAUGAAGCAUUACCUUCAAAAUCAGCUAAUCUAAAUGCUACAAAACUAGUACAGCGUGCCUUGAUUUACUGCCACUUAUAUGGAAAGCAUGUACAGACCCGAAGAGACUGUCUGUCCUUCCUGAGCUGGCAGAAGGAGCAUUAAUGACUGCAAGAAUUAGAAGCACAAACUUUCUGAGCCUUGGAGCAUCUGGAAACAGGUAUUGAUAUUAGUCUGUGUUUGUGUUACUGUAUUGAUGUGGUGGUCCUAUUUUAAGAAACCAAGUAUAUAUACAUACAUUAUAUAUAUAUACACACACACACAAAUAUAAACACAUCGAUAUUUCUGUGGCUUAGGACAUGGUACCAAGUGUGACAAGGGUGUAUAUAUGUCCAUGAUUUCAGGCACCACAUCUUUGUGUAACUUCAGAACAAGCAAGUAGCAUGUGCAUAAUACUUGGUUGUGUAACAUUUGCACUACAUACACUUUAAUUACUUGAUAAACAUUAUCUUCACUGAGGAGCAUCUGUGUACGGGGUGUGAUGGUUAUUUAAUGUACGCUGCGCAUUAAGCUUAUUUAUGUGGUGGAUUGAUGAAUAGUCCACCUUCCUGCACUAAUAUUUACUUGACAUGCUGAAGCAAUUGUUUUUCUGCCAUGCCUCGUUUACUAACUUUUUUCAUAUGCCGUUUCCAAAAAAAAAAAAAAUCUGGAAGAGAUUAUUCCUGUGACUGAAAGAGGUUUUUCUUUGACAGCAUUUUUCUUCGUACUUAAAAAUUAAAAAAAAAAAAUCCAUCCCAUAAAAGAAAAUGCAGUUGCCUCAUCUACAAAUGUAUUGGAAUAUGUUUGUUCCAAACCCCUAGCUCCUCCCUAUUUCCUGUAUAAAAGGAGAAAGGAAAGAGAAUUUGUAGUGAGUAUGUAGAUUAUUGAAAGAAAAAUUCCCCAACUCCUCCAGCACCAAGAAACCUCUUCCCAUGUCUGCUAAACUAUAACUUUUAUUUAAUGCCAAAGUUUUAGCCAAAGACAUCCUCAAUCUAGUUUCACCAUCUCUGUAUAUAUAAUCUAACUGCACACCCCACCCCCCAGGAAACAGGAUAUAGGCUUUUCUCUAGUCAGGAAAUGCUGCUCACUGCAUUUUAUCUCAAGUGGAUGCUUUGAGUUUGUAAUUCUCUUACAGUCUUAUUGGGGAAAAUAGUGUGUGUUCUUUGAAAUAUUAACCCUUUUUAAAAAUGGAAAAGAGAAAUGUAUAAUUUUGUCCCAUUUUUAAUAUUUUGAUGUAGCAACUUGUGAUACAUAGACAACAAUUUUGUGAGAUUUACAAUGUGUGUACAGAUUUUGUAAAUAUGACAUUUUUGUAAUUUUAACGCCAUGUACAGUGUAAUCCUGUAUAGUUUAUCAAUGAAUGGGAGCUAGGAAAUAGAAUGUUAACUAGUGUUUUGGAUCCUGGACCAGUAGCAGGGAUAAAUGUGAUUUGGUUUGUGAGAGUGUGAGAGUUUGUGCGUAUGAUAUUCUUUGCCAUUUAGUCUUCCUGUAUACUGUGACAUUCUAGAGUGUUUUACUAAAACAAAAAAGCCCCACUGAGGAUCUAUCUAAGGAAAAAGUUACUGUUUACCUUCGUUAUUCUUAGGUGUUACUCCUGUUGAAUUCCUGUUCAAUCUGUGCUGUUUCCUGUGAUCAUUGCUUGCUGAGAAAAUUCUACACCUCCGUCUAUUUCUUUGUUUCCUCUCAAAUUUUCAUUUUGGUUUACAUAGCCCUUCUGUAAAUUAAACAGAAUCCAUAAUGAGCAUGUACACUGAAAGACAAAUAAAAUGCGACUCUCAGUUACUGUUUUGUGUUGCAUACAGUUGCUGGGUGUUUUUGUAAUAAA